GGGGGUACGUGUCGGAUUAUUGGGCGUAAGAGCUCGUAGGCGGUUUGUCGCGUCUGCCGUGAAAGUCCGGGGCUCAACUCCGGAUCUGCGGUGGGUACGGGCAGACUAGAGUGAUGUAGGGGAGACUGGAAUUCCUGGUGUAGCGGUGAAAUGCGCAGAUAUCAGGAGGAACACCGAUGGCGAAGGCAGGUCUCUGGGCAUUAACUGACGCUGAGGAGCGAAAGCAUGGGGAGCGAACAGGAUUAGAUACCCUGGUAGUCCAUGCCGUAAACGUUGGGCACUAGGUGUGGGGGACAUUCCACGUUUUCCGCGCCGUAGCUAACGCAUUAAGUGCCCCGCCUGGGGAGUACGGCCGCAAGGCUAAAACUCAAAGGAAUUGACGGGGGCCCGCACAAGCGGCGGAGCAUGCGGAUUAAUUCGAUGCAACGCGAAGAACCUUACCAAGGCUUGACAUGGGCCGGACCGGGCUGGAAACAGUCCUUCCCCUUUGGGGCCGGUUCACAGGUGGUGCAUGGUUGUCGUCAGCUCGUGUCGUGAGAUGUUGGGUUAAGUCCCGCAACGAGCGCAACCCUCGUUCCAUGUUGCCAGCGCGUAAUGGCGGGGACUCAUGGGAGACUGCCGGGGUCAACUCGGAGGAAGGUGGGGACGACGUCAAAUCAUCAUGCCCCUUAUGUCUUGGGCUUCACGCAUGCUACAAUGGCCGGUACAAAGGGUUGCGAUACUGUGAGGUGGAGCUAAUCCCAAAAAGCCGGUCUCAGUUCGGAUUGGGGUCUGCAACUCGACCCCAUGAAGUCGGAGUCGCUAGUAAUCGCAGAUCAGCAACGCUGCGGGUGAAUACGUUCCCGGGCCUUGUACACACCGCCCGUCAAGUCACGAAAGUUGGUAACACCCGAAGCCGGUGGCCUAACCCCUUGUGGGAGGGAGCUGUCAAAGUGGACUGGUGAUUGGGACUAAUCGUAACAAGGUACCCGGACCUGUUCUGCAGGCGCCGCCCU
rnacentral:rRNA from 1 species